rnacentral:rRNA from 1 species
UACGUAGGCGGAAUAUUAAGUCAGUGGUGAAAUCCUGCGGCUCAACCGUAGAACUGCCAUUGAUACUGAUAUUCUUGAAUGUAGUUGAGGUAGGCGGAAUGUGUAAUGUAGCGGUGAAAUGCUUAGAUAUUACACAGAACACCGAUUGCGAAGGCAGCUUACUAAACUAUGAUUGACGCUGAUGUACGAAAGCGUAGGGAGCGAACAGGAUUAGAUACCCUGGUAGUCC